CAUGCUAGUCUGGAGCUGGUUGAAUCUGGGCCAAAUUGGAGUGUUGAAUGGCAUUUGGUCCCCUUCAAUCAGUUGUAGCUAGCUGACAAA